GGAGCAGGCUGGAGAAUUUAGAGCUGCGUCACAGAGCUCAGCGAGAGAGUGAGAGAGCAAGCUCCGUCGAUAGGUCUACCAGCAACAGCCCUGCUGCAGCAAGAGGGGAGAGAGGCAGCAAGAGAGGCAGAGAGGGCUCCAGAAAGAGAAGUAUCACCAACACCUCGGGCUGGGCUCCUGCCACCAUCCACUGCCAUUUAGACGUCGUACUCGGGCUCGGUUGGCGUAGGAGGCUUCGCCCAUUGACGAUGCUGGAGACCCGGCGCGCUUAAUCCCGCGGGGAGGGAGAGUGGGCAGACACCGAAAGGGUUAACGGAAAGGAAAUUUCUGGAACCUUCUCUUCUGCGGCGCUCCACAGCGAGCGGAGGGCUGAGGACUGCGCAGAUGGUGCACGGGCACAGCUCUUCGGUCCGGUUCGCCUCUCUCACUGACCAGCAAUGAAGAUGGCAGCUCUGCCUGGAAGUGCUGAGGACACAACCAGCCUUGAGCUUGGUCCUUCUGGCCGAGGAAGUCUCCCGAUUAUGCAGUGGAGUGAUUCCAUAGGGAAUUUCAGACUCUUGCUGCAGUCGUCACAACCCCUCCUGACUCACUGAGCCUUCGCUGGCUGUAGCUGGCUCCCUUGGAGCAUCCUUGCCUCCUGCAGCGCCAGAUCCGCAGAGCAGGGGAACAACAGGAAUAGCAGCGACGACGGUGGUCCCUGCAGCGAGACAGACAGGCAUAAAUACACACACAUGCAGGAACAGUCCGAGGCAGCUGUGGAGGGAAUUCUGUACAGCCGGGAGCUGGACUAAGCCCCGAUUGCUUGGUUGCGUGGAAGACGGAGGAGGAAGGCUCUGUGAGUGACGAGACAGCCACGAUCUCCCCCUUGCACUUGUUUUGCCGAUGGUCAUGUUACAUCUGUGACGCAGACGAAUUUUGCUGUUGGUUCCUGCCUGUGCUUCAGGGAGUCGGGCUGAUGAGGGCACAAGCUUGAAUAUGGUUAGAAACAUUAAUUUAGUAUCGCUGUUACGGGUUCAAACCAUACCUGAAGGGUCAGGGGUAUUGGAUCCACCUAUUUCACAGCCCCAAAUGGCGAAGGAAUUCGGAUGAACACAACAGCACCCCUGGCCAUUUUGUAGCUCGCAGAGUAGACUCGGAGCCUGCAGCUCUGCUGCUGCUGCUGUUCAUUUCCAUGUUAUACAAAUACAGCGUUGGGCUCGGUGUCAGGAGCUUUCCUGAUGCUGUGAGAAGCUUAAAGUCUACAAGCAAAUGUUUUUCUUAUUUGGGAAGAUUAAUUAAAAUGACCAAAUGCCAAGUAUUCUACCCUCGCUCCUCUCACAAAUCACAUCCAGAAAAUUCAGUGGUGCCGUGUAUGUUUUUUAAAACUUAAUCACGGGGUUUUCUUACAGUUUAAUAUGGGUGUGGCUGUGGGGGAGGGUAAGAUUUAAUUUGCUAAAUAUCUGUAAUGCUGAUGUUAAUGGACAAGUACGUAGGCAAGAGAUAGUUGUCCAUAUCCUCUAUACAUCUGCCUAUAGAUACAGAUGGUCCCAAGCCCAGGUUGUGAAGAUGCCCUCGUCACAAAAAUGAGAAGGGACCACUCUGGCCCAUUCUCACCCACCCAAACGUUUCAGUGCAAAGGCAGCAGCAGGAAAGGCCAAGUUGGAAUCUCAAUCUCACAAAAUGGUUCCACCAGCACUCAGAGAUGCCAGCGCCGUUUAUACUGGCACGGCUCCGAGAGCGGCACGGCGAGCUGCCUGCUGCAAGGUCAUUCCCCUGACUCAUGGUCAGCAACCAGUUGGUUCAGGAACUCCCAAUCCACUUUUCUUGCAUCUGUGGCAGCGCUUGAAU